rnacentral:rRNA from 1 species
UGGGGAAUAUUGGACAAUGGGGGCAACCCUGAUCCAGCCAUGCCGCGUGUGUGAAGAAGGCCUUAGGGUUGUAAAGCACUUUCAGUGGGGAGAAAGGUUGUUUACUUAAUACGUAAAUAAAUUGAUGUUACCCACAGAAGAAGCACCGGCUAACUCCGUGCCAGCAGCCGCGGUAAUACGGAGGGUGCAAGCGUUAAUCGGAAUUACUGGGCGUAAAGCGCACGUAGGUGGUUCGCUAAGUCAGCUGUGAAAUCCCCGGGCUCAACCUGGGACUUGCAGUUGAAACUGGUGAGCUAGAGUAGGGUAGAGGGGUGUGGAAUUCCAGGUGUAGCGGUGAAAUGCGUAGAUAUCUGGAGGAACAUCAGUGGCGAAGGCGACACCCUGGACUCAUACUGACACUGAGGUGCGAAAGCGUGGGGAGCAAACAG